GAAACCCUUGAGGGGUAAGAAGUUUUUGGUUGCUGACGACAGUGCAAUUUUGCGCAAUAUAGCUUCUGCUACUCUGAUUUCUCUUGGUGCAACCGUGGAGCAAUGUGAUAAUGGUGAAGAAGCAGUGAGGUUAGUUGAUGAGGGUCUACCUCGGGAGUUUCCUAAUCCUCCUUACGAUUAUAUCUUAAUGGAUUGUCAGAUGCCAAUAAUGGACGGUCUUGAGGCAACAAAGUGGAUACGAAAGAUAGAGAAAGCUUAUGGUGUUCGCAUUCCUAUCAUUGCAUUGACUGCUGGAACAGAAAGAAUAACGAUAGAGAGUGGAAUGGACUAUCAUAUGGAUAAACCCAUUAACA
rnacentral:sRNA from 1 species